GGACAGGUGGCCGAGUGGUUUAAGGCACACGCUUGGAAAGCGUGCGUGGUGUAACAGCCACCGCGGGUUCGAAUCCCGCCCUGUCCGCCA
rnacentral:tRNA from 8 species